GAAUACUUUCCGUACCCACUGUAUAUAUAUUUAUAUAUAUAUGCUGCAGUCCUUUAAACCAUCUUUAAUGCUGGAGAUUAGAAAGGCAGAGUUCGGUCUGUACUGUGUUUGUUGAACUGAUGACUUGAGCUGCGUGUCUCAUCCUCACACACACCGACACACUCGGCUUCUUGUCUCAUGUGCACUUUAAAGAGCGACACCCGUGAUGAAGAGUUCUUUGUUUCUCGGAGGAUCCAUUUCAGCGGACGAGCCUCAUAUUUUUAGCGGCCAACCGCCUGGUGGGAAGGCUGAUGAAUAAACAGGAGUUGGGGGCCGCCUCGUUAUUAUUUACGUCCAUCCUUCCUGCAGCGCCGCGUCCCACUGUGGGCCGCAGGAUGAAUGAUGCUUCUAGAAGUUCCCUAAUGGACAGACGGAUGGAGAGGGGGGGAAACGGGAGGUGAAGGGACCAAUCACUCCUUCCUGUUCAAAUGUUUUAGAUAAUAGAGGCCGGAGAUCCAUCACGAGGAGGUGCGACGGGGGUCCAACAAUGGAUGGAUGAACGGAUUAAACACCAUGCGAGGGGUCAGCUGUGUUCCACGGAUCAGGGAUUUUAAACUUAAGUGAAAUGGUGAUUAAUUUAGUCCUAAACACACAUGUCCUUAAAAUAUAUCAUUUAUUUCAUCUUUUGGGGAACAAAUCACGUAAUUUAUCGAACAGGAGAAAAGUUUGGGAACUUCUAAUUUACAAAAACAAAAUAGACAUUAUUUACAACAUUAACAAAAGGCAGAUGUGUACACACACACACACACACGUAUGGCUGUAGGUUCUUCCACUCUGCAUGCUGAUAUUAUUUCCCACCUGCAUCUGAAACAUCACCCGUCUCUUGUGUUUCGUGUGUCCUCCUGCAGAUCGUGGGUCCCGCUGACGGAUCGAACUACAUCGUGGAUUAUUACGGCGCCCGGCUGACCCGCCUGUCCAUCACCAACCAGACCUACAGGAAGCCACACCUGUCCCUGUGAACACACACCGAUGCUGUACGUCGUGUAAAUACACGACAGAGGAUCUACUCAUCUUUAUCGACGCGCUGACCCUGACAUUGAAAAAUGAACAGUUUAAGGAUCAAAGUUCUUCAAACCAGCAUCAACCGACCGACCAGAAGGCAUUUACUCUGCUGUGUCAGCAUGUUUUUUAGCUCAUUAACUCACAAACUGUAAACCUUCACAUCUCGUCACUUUAGGUCAUAUUUCUAUCUUCACAUCUGUCCAGCUGGUCAGUUUUCUGUUUUAUUCAAUAGGAUUUUGUCGUAGCAUAUUGUAUUAUUAUUAUUAUUGUGAUGUUUCGCUGCUGUUUCAUCUUUAAGUUAUGAUGCUUUUCCACGACAACAGACUUUGUAAAUAAAAAGUUUCUUUUUGUGUUAAUCUACGUUUGACUGUUUUUAUUAAACAUCGCCACCGUG